rnacentral:lncRNA from 1 species
GUGGUUCGUAGCAAACCUUUUACCCCAGAAGACUACAGUUAUGGGAGUGCUGAAAGAAAUCUUCAAGAGCACUGUUGUACCAGUCACUAGGACUGAACGUUCAUCUGGGAAAGCGGAGAAAACGUUGAGGGAGUUGAUGUGAGAACAGAAGAAGAUCCCCACACGCACGAUAAUGGCCCGCCAGAGGAGAUGUAGUUUGCUGUUGUUUCUCAGUCCACCACGAAAAAAAAACAAAUACCCAGCACUUCACACGGUGCCUUGCCAAAGACUACACAUUAGAUUACAGUUGACCAGUUCAGAGCAGCCCAGCAAAAAACGAUAUAAACCUUCGUCAUCAGGGAGUUAUUUUGCUGUACCUAUACCCUGGAAACAGAGUAUACUAAUUUCUAAGAGGUGUUAGUGAAGUGGCACCAGAGCAAGAGUCGGCGGUUCAGGCUGGACAAACAGAGGCAACACAAGAAGCAGAACCACAUGCACCCCCAGAAGAACAAGUCUCAUUUAUGGACAUCACCAUGACUUCGGUGGAGACCCCUAUGGAUUCUGCAGUACC